CCUACGGGUGGCAGCAGUGGGGAAUAUUGCACAAUGGGGGAAACCCUGAUGCAGCGACGCCGCGUGAGUGAAGAAGUAAUUCGUUACGUAAAGCUCUAUCAGCAGGGAAGAAAAUGACGGUACCUGAGUAAGAAGCACUGGCUAACUACGUGCCAGCAGCCGCGGGAAUAAGUAGGGGGCAAGCGGUAUACGGAUUUACUGGGGGUAAAGGGGGCGUAGACGGUGCGGAAAGUCUGGAGUGAAAUGCCGCUGGUUAACUGAUGAACUGCUUUGGAAACUGGCGAACUAGAGUGCGGGAGGGGUGAGCGGAAUUCCUAGUGUAGCGGUGAAAUGCGUAGAUAUAAGGAGGAACACCGGUGGCGAAGGCGGCUUACUGGACCGUAACUGACGUUGAGGCUCGAAAGCGUGGGGAGCAAACAGGAUUAGAUACCCUGGUAGUC
rnacentral:rRNA from 1 species